ACCGCUAACCCGAUCAGCUCGAUAUGCUGAGUACCCCAGCCAGAGGACCUAUGGAGAGAAUAUCCUUUUUUCCACUCUUCUAACAAUACACAUGCAGGGGCGGAUUGCCAGCGUUGGGCAAAAAGAAGGAAGAACUGGAGACCCAGUUAAAGGCUUGGAGAGUAAAGAGAGGAGAGGCUUACAAUUUUCAUACUGAGGAAAAAAAUAGGUAUAAGGCAUUUCUGGAAAAGGUGGAGUUUGAGAAGCAGAAGAUUGUGGCCAAAUUUGAGAAAGUAGAAACAUUUCUGAAACAGCAAAAGAAAAACAUGCUGGACCAGUUGGAAGCGUUUGCGAAGGAGGAGGAGACGUUUGGCAGCAGACUUUCUGGGGAGAUCAGCUUUAUGGGAACUCUAAUCUGUGAGAUAGCGCAGAAGAGCCAGCAGCCUCCAAGUGCAUUCCUGCGGGUGAGGUCAAGGGGUCCUAGCAAGGCUUGGCCAGGGAGAGCUGGGAAAAACUGAAAUGGGGCAAUACUUCCUCAUCCAACAAACCUAUUUCAACAUUUAACACCAUAAAGUGCUGCACGGAUAACAGGUAGCAUAUAAAUGUACGUUGACCACAUUUCUGAAAUUUAUGGUGCAAUCCUACAUAUACUAGAAAUAAAGCCCACUCAAUUGAGUAGCGAUCAGCCCAGGAGAUCAUGCACAGAAGCGUGAAUGUGUUGGACUGUGAUCUUAAAGCUGGUGAGGGCCGCCGGAAGUAGCAGAAGGGUCUGCGCCCAGGGAAGCUGGCAGAACGGGAAGUGCCAGGUGUGGACUGAUCAAAGCAUUCUUGCUAUGCUGUGAAAACUGGCCAGAGAGGGCGAUUGCACACCACGGCUCCUGAAUGCCCUUGGCUACAUGCACACGGGUGCAAAAGCAGGUGCCGGAUGGAAUUCCCUCAACAGGAUGUUUGCUCUAUGCUGGAAGAAAAGCUUCAUGCCUUCUCUAAAAAUAUAUCAUUCUGCAGCAGAUUCUGUGGGAAUUCACAGUGGAAACUUUGCCGGGACAGUUGGAAGUGCAGUGGGUCAAAGUGACCCUGGAUCCAGACACUGCUCAUCCUCUACUUUUAGUAACUGAUCACCGGAAAAAAGUGAACUUUACAGGAAAAAGGUGUGAUGUAGUUGACUCUUCACAGUGGCUUAAGUCUCCGUACUGUGUGCUGGGCUGUGAAGGAUUCACCUCUGGGAGGUUUUACUGGGAGGUGAGGAUUGGAAAUAAGGGAAAGUGGAAAGUGAGGGUGGCCAGGGAAUCCAUUAAAAGGAAGGGAAGCCAUGACAAAGGGGGCGUAUGGGCUAUAAGAAAUGACAGCGGUGCAUUUAAAUAUGAUGGUGGCACACCAGCACAUGACCAACAUGCCACAGUUGGGGUUUAUCUGGAUAUUGGAAAAAACAGGGUGUUGUUUUUUGAUGCUGCUAAGGGGAAUGUUCUGUGGGGUUAUUCUUCUGUCGUUUUCAAGUCAGAGAAAAUCCAUCCUUCCUUUGAGCUGUUAUAUCAGGAUAUAUCUGCAGAACAACAAUGGAUCAAAAUACAUUCCUGACAACAUGAAAUGCAAAUGUGAUAAUGAUUCUUUCUGUUACCCGAAAGCUAUACUUAAUAUAUUUUUGCAACUUUUAAAAAAGUGAGAGCAUGACAUCAAAGCUGACUUGAAGCAUAGUUGGAACAGCAAACUCUGCUGGACACCCUUUCCCAGCCCCAUUGGCUGUACAAUUUUUCACUGUACUAAUCAAACCUUCAUAUUCAGAAACCUUUCAAUAAAAACUAAUGUGUGUGUGUAUUUAAUAAGAUUCACAAUAAAUGGCACAAAAACAAGUUAA